rnacentral:rRNA from 1 species
UACGUAGGGGGCUAGCGUUGUCCGGAAUCAUUGGGCGUAAAGCGCACGUAGGCGGCUUUGCAAGUCGGAUGUGAAAUCCCUCGGCUUAACCAAGGAAGUGCAUCCGAAACUGCAGAGCUUGAGUACUUAAGAGGAUCGCGGAAUUCCCGGUGUAGAGGUGAAAUUCGUAGAUAUCGGGAGGAACACCAGUGGCGAAGGCGGCGAUCUGGGAAGAUACUGACGCUGAGGUGCGAAAGCGUGGGGAGCAAACAGG